rnacentral:rRNA from 1 species
CAGUGGGGAAUCUUAGACAAUGGGCGCAAGCCUGAUCUAGCCAUGCCGCGUGAUCGAUGAAGGCCUUAGGGUUGUAAAGAUCUUUCGUGGGGGAAGAUAAUGACGGUACCCCAAGAAGAAGCCCCGGCUAACUCCGUGCCAGCAGCCGCGGUAAUACUCCUACGGGAGGCAGCAGCCAGCAGCCGCGGUAAUAA